UUGCCGAUGAUGGUUACGAAUUUCUUCACCUGAAUAAGCCGUGUGGUCGUGUUGUGUCUGAGGCAAA
ensembl:snoRNA SNORD36 Small nucleolar RNA SNORD36